rnacentral:rRNA from 1 species
AGCGAACGCUGGCGGCAGGCUUAACACAUGCAAGUCGAGCGGGCAUCUUCGGGUGUCAGCGGCGGACGGGUGAGUAACGCGUGGGAACGUGCCUUCUGGUUCGGAAUAACUCAGGGAAACUUGAGCUAAUACCGGAUACGCCCUUUUGGGGAAGGGUUUACUGCCGGAAGAUCGGCCCGCGUCGGAGUAGCUAGUUGGUGGGGUAACGGCCUACCAAGGCGACGAUCAGUAGCUGGUCUGAGAGGAUGAACAGCCACACUGGGACUGAGACACGGCCCAGACUCCUACGGGAGGCAGCAGUGGGGAAUAUUGGACAAUGGGGGCAACCCUGAUCCAGCCAUGCCGCGUGAGUGAUGAAGGCCUUAGGGUUGUAAAGCUCUUUUAUCCGGGACGAUAAUGACGGUACCGGAGGAAUAAGCCCCGGCUAACUUCGUGCCAGCCGCCGCGGUAA